GAUUAAUAUUAUAGAAAAAUUUUUUGCCGGUAAUUACUGGUUGACAAAGUAUAGUGUUUCCUGCAUUCCAUCUUAGAGACAACAAUAAUAGUAUUGUUGGACGCAAUUAAGGCUUGUCAACGGAUUCUUGUGAUAUUUUGUUUGAUAAUUCGAAUCUUUUUUGCUAAAUGUGUACACGGUAUAAUCAUUUCCAGUUGUAAGUGGAUUGGAUUGUAUGCAGCUUAUGCAAGCCACUGAAUUUAUAAAAUUUUGCUAGCAAUGACUAUACCGGAACUGCAACCUUUUGCUGCAAAAACCUACCUCUUCGGACACAUCCGUCAGCUCGGCGAACAUAUGUUCUAGGAGAUUACACAGCUGGAUCAGAUCCUCCUCGUGCGUUUCCGGUCCCACCGGCAUCUCGAUGACCUUUUGCAGGGAACGCUUCUUGCCGGGUCCGGCGGCCCAUCCGCUGCUGGGAAUCCAACUGAUCCGGCGUCCCUUGUAGCUGCUACCGGUCGUCGAAGUGGGCAGCUUCCGGGUCUGCCAGAUACCGACCAGCGGACUGAACUGGAAAUGCUCCGCCGGCACCGGACUGCACCAUACAAUACCGAUCAACGCUAACACCGCACAAAUGCCAAUGUACACUUUCAUCGCGCAGGACAUAAUGUGGCACAAACGUUAUAUACGAGUUGUUAAAAACACAUCCGGUCAACGGAGAAAAGUUAGAUAAAAUUAUUCUAGGAGCGGUUGUAUAUAUUAAGUAUAAAUCAGUGUAUAAACGGAUUGGUGUAUAUAUAAAUAACUUACGAGCCUGUAAGUGCGUGUAAGAUAUUUGUAUGAAAAUUUCGACGCAGUUCUGACUGAACGGAUGUUUGUCGUUUUACAUGUGAAUAAAUAUUCUUCGGAAUGAUGGUGAAAGCGAGCGAUACGUGGGAAAGGGAUUAGCGGGACGCUCCUCGAGCUGCAAUCACACGUGCCAGGUGCGCGGGAUUAUUGCGCGCGCUAUGGACGUAAUAUGGGAUAGCGGAUAUUGUAAGGUUUCCAAUUUUCCGUGUUGCGCCCGCGCUUGUUUGUCUGUGAUAUCUGCGUCGGAUGUGGUAAACUGAUCUGACAAUCGGCAUCAUUGACAAGAUAGCGAACUUUUCCCGGCUUGGAUGAAUUCACCCGCGAUGUUGACCCUUUAUUAACAAACAGCGGUAAGUGCGUCAGGAUACUGAAACGCGCUGCGGAUGAUGGACGGGGGCGGGGACUAUUUGCCGCUGACCAUUGUCCAAUGCUGUGCGCGGCCGUCGCUACGGAUGACACGGACAUUGCGGCCGGUGGUUGCAGGGGCCAGAUAAUGGUCAGACGCGGGACGUUGUAGCCGUUAAUAAUACGGUGAACGGACGACAUACGCCAGCCGUAGCGGGGACUAAAGGUCAACUGUCCACCGGCCAGCGUCAGGAUGCCGAGAGUGUACAGAAGCGUUUGUAUAUACCGAAAGCGUUGCAUGAUCAUAUUAUAGCAAUCAAUUGCCCCUACUCACAGUGUACAGUAUAAAAAUGACUAAAAUGGCAACCCUAACCAAGAAAAAUAUAUACAGUAUAAUAUCUGUAUUUGUGAAGAUUUACCUGCCUGUGCUCUUGAUAACCCACUUUGUAUAAUAGAAAAUAUUAAACG